GUUGAACAGGAAUUUGUCACUCAGGUAUGAUCAACAACUCAGCCAUAAAAUUAUAUCAAACUGUUCAUCUGACGGUUUGUUGGUCGUAUGAACAACACCUUUCUCAUAUAUGGAAUUUGAUUAGAUCUUUCUAAUAAACUAGUUAUGUCAUUGAACUUCCAAAGGCAAAUGAUUGUACUUGACAGGAGAGAAUAAUUUAGUGCUAGAGAGGCUCUUUUUUUAAAGCUUGCAAAAUCUUGGGAACACUAAUAGGCUAUAAUAAGCAAAAUAUUGUAGUGUUGGCUGAAGAAAGGAUAAAAUGUUUGAAUAGAAAAUUGAAAAACAUGAGGUAAUGAGAGAGAAUGAAAAAUUUGCAGAUUUAUGUUAUAGUUUGAUUAUGAUCUGAUCCUUCAUUCUUUCCAAAUUCAAUA
rnacentral:misc_RNA from 1 species